CUGUUCGUUAUAUCCACCUUUGUAGGAGCUAUGAGAUUGAUCACUGUUCGUUAUCUUCACCUUUAUAGGAGUUAUGAGAUUGAUCACUGUUCGCUAUCUUCUUUAUAGGAGUUAUGAGAUUGAUCACUGUUCGUUAUCUUCACCUUUAUAGGAGUUACGAGAUUGAUCACUGUUCGUUAUUGUCACCUUUCAUGCACCUCUCUUACACUACGCUGUUGAUUUUUAGGUCACCUGAGUAAACUCAAGUGACCUAAAACACUGUCAUGAUCGUGUGCAGGAUUGGACAAAACAAGAUGGCAGACGGCAUUUCCAAACAAAGGUAUCAAGCCCUAGAACUUCAUUCCAUGAGAUGGGUACACUUCGAAUGUGCGAAAUUGGUGGUGAGGAAUUCAAGACCAAUUCUGAAUUUCGUAGGCAUGUAAAAAGGAAACAUCAAUCAGAGAAAUUGUCUUCGUUUGUGACCAGUGCAACACACGCUUUUGCACAUUAUAAAAGAAACA